GUAAUUAUUUCCCUUUAUUUCAUGAUGGACGAAUGUAGUGCGAGUUAUAAAUAGACAAUUUUUCCCUUAAUUUUUUUCUCCCCUCUUCCUGCAUUUUUGGGUUGACUUUUUGGUCUAGAAUUGGAGAAAAGGGAUCAAAUUUGCAAUUUCAUAGCAGUUUUGUGUAAUACUGAUGAUAUUACAGCGGAGGGAUAGGGGGUGUAAAGUGUCUUUCUGCAGAGCAAUCAUUGUGUCGGAAGUGAGAUUUCCACCCCUGUCAACUUCAAAUCUGUGUAGCAAAAAAUCUAAAUGGUCAACCCCCUACAAAAUUAUGAUGAGGAGAUUGCCAAAUGUUGUCCCCAUUGUGCCUAUAAAGAUUGGAACCAACGGAAUGUUGAGCAAAAAGCUACAGCCUGUGAUGUUACAGUCAUUUAACAUUGAAGUCAAUGGGCAAAUAAUUGCUAGUCUGAGUCCUGAUGAAAUAAUGAAGCAUGGCCGACUCGGGAUGUUGAUAUUUUUUCAACGGCUUGUUUCCUGAAGUUUUGAAUGGAAAGUGUCAGAAAUGGUGCCCAGGUAAUGUUUCAUAGAGUGGAAUGAUUGACCUCAACACAAGUAUUAAAAAAAAAGAAGCAAAACAGGUCUACAUCUCAAAACCUGAUCUCUUCCUGAACUGGCUUUAGGAGAACGAUGAUGCAUAUCAAUUUCAUCCCUGAUCUCUAUGACACCUGUGGUGGAAGUGGAGGGCAAAUCGUAAUCAGUUUGGGUUCCAGCCCCGAGGACUUUUGUAAACUUUGCUUUUUGGUGAUGACUUAAUUUCCGAGCUUGAAAAGGACGCUUGUGUGUUUAUCAUGGCCUCUCAUAUUGGAAGAUAACAUUAAUGGCUUGUGUGUUGAUCGACGGUUGUGCAUAUCUCUUGGUCAGGAAAGUUGUAGGCACCAUCGCCAUUGUAAAUCAUUUGACAGGCCCGAGUGAACGGGGCGACCUAUGAUUGGUCAGCAAUGUAUCAGAUUCCAUACCGGGGGGUGGGGAUGAAAAAACUGUUGUAGUGUUACAUAAUCAGAUUAUUUCAACUUACUUAUCCUGUGGAAAUACAGCUAUAUAGGAGAUAUUUUGAAAUUCAUAGGCACUGCAUGUUUCAACAUUUUAGAUUUGACCACAAUUUGGCACUUGAAACUAUGUUAACAGAGAAAAACUGUGUGGUUUUCGAUGAAAGUGUUAAAAGUCUAAUAUUGCAUCAUGAUUACUGUUUUAAAGUAUUUUCGUGUUUGAUUUAUAUUGAAUUCAUCUCAUCUUUUUGAAGAAUGCAUUUAUGUUCAAAAAUAAAAAUGUUCUGUGGAAUUCAAAAUUGAUGUGCUUUUAAAUUAUCAGAUUCCAAACUGGGGGGUGGGGAUGAAAAAGCUGUUGUAGUGUUACAUAAUCAGAUUAUUUCAACUUACUUAUCCUAUGGAAAUACAGCUAUAUAGGAGAUAUUUUAAAAUUGAUAGGCACUGCAUGUUUCAACAUUUUAGAUUUGACCACAAUUUGGCACUUGAAACUACGUUAACAGAGAAAAACUGUGUGGUUUUCGAUGAAAGUGUUAAAAAGUCUAAUAUUG